AGCAAACGCUGGCGGCGUGCCUAAUACAUGCAAGUCGAACGGGGAAAGUAGCAAUACGAGUACUAGUGGCGCACGGGUGAGGAACACGUGGGUAAUCUGCCUUCGAGCGGGGGAUAACUAGUCGAAAGGUUAGCUAAUACCGCAUAAGACCACAAUGUCUGAGGACAAAGGGGUCAAAGUCGCAAGACACUUGAAGAUGAGCCCGCGUAAGAUUAGCUAGUUGGUGAGGUAAUGGCUCACCAAGGCGAUGAUCUUUAGCUGGUCUGAGAGGAUGAUCAGCCACACUGGAACUGAGAUACGGUCCAGACUCCUACGGGAGGCAGCAGUAGGGAAUAUUGCGCAAUGGGGGAAACCCUGACGCAGCGACGCCGCGUGAGUGAUGAAGGCCUUCGGGUCGUAAAGCUCUGUUAUAUGGGAAUAAGAUCUGAAUGUACCAUGUGAGAAAGGAUCGGCUAACUUCGUGCCAGCCGCCGCGGUAA
rnacentral:rRNA from 1 species